rnacentral:lncRNA from 1 species
AGCAGGUAUAUUGGUAGAAAGAACUAAGCCCCUUUUCUUCUAAAUUUCCUAAAUGGGACUCCAUUUAGUGAAUUAUAAAGGAAAAAUCUAAGGGUUGACAUGAAGCUUAGGGUCAGUUUAUCCUAUCCAGAUAGUGGACUCCUAGUGUAAUUAAAAAGCCCUGAAGUAGGAUUCAAGAGAAUGUGAUUGAAGUCUUCACUAUAUUCACUUUAAAAUUAGGUGACUUUAGGCUGGGCUUGUCACUUUUUUUGUCUCAACUUCCUUUUCUUAUAGGAUGGAUAUACUCAAACCCUGAAAUUUAAAGACUUUUUAAAAAGUUUUAUUGAAAUAGAGUUGAUUAUUAUAAUUUCUGCUGUACAACAAAGUGAUUCAGUUAUACAUAUAAACACAUCUAUUCUUUUUAAGAUUCUGUUCCCAUAUAGAUUAUCAUAGAAUAUUGGGUAGAGUUCUUUGUACUUUACAGCGGGUCCCUGUUGGCCAAUCAUUCUGUAUACCACAGUGUAUAUAUGCCAAUCCCAAACCCCAACUCUAUUGCUCCCCGCCUUUGGUAAUUUUAUGAUUGUUUUCAAAAUCUAUGAGUCUGUUGUGUUCUGAAAAUAAGUCCAUUUUUAUCCUUUUUGGAUUUCACAUAUAAGUGAUAUCACAUGAUUGUCUUUCUCUAUUUUAGUUCACUUAGUAUGAUAAUUUACAAUAUUUCACAUAUUGGCUGCAAGUAGCAUUAUUUCAUUAUUUUUUAUGGUUGAGUAGUAUUCCAUUUCACAUAUGUACCACAUGACUUUUUUUAACUCAAUGGUAAAUUAAAAAAGUGAUAUUUGACUAUUUUUUUCUAUCUGUCAUAAGAAUUUCAAUUCUGAGAGCAUCUGGAAAAAAAGAAUGGGAAAGCAGAAUCUGACUUUAAUUCCCAGACUACUCUUGAUGGCUAUGUGUUCAGGAGAGGUAUUCUGUCUUCAUGGGAAGAGGCUAUUGGAGGAAUCCUAGCCUGAUGUAGGGGGAAGUUCUGUCUAAAACUGCACCCUCAAUUCAUAGCUAGUCUAGCUGGAAGAAGUAAUUAGAGAUGAGUGCCUUAUAGACAGAAUUAAAAAAUAGGAAUGACAUUUUGUUUUACAGAAAGAGAGCAUAUUACCAAAAGAAUGAAAUGCAGGAAAAUUUCCUCAAAGAAUUAAGAAUUACAAAUUUUCAAAGAUUUUUCAUCUAAAUAGAGUGAAAAAUGUAUGUAUUAGGUGGAUUAAAAAGGGGAAAAUAGAAUGAGUAAUGAUAAAUAUGUGCGCAUAAGGAAGUGACAAAGAAAAUAAAAAACAGCUCAAAGGUGAAUAAAAACAUAAGGGAGAUGGUGAUGGAAUUGUGAAUUAGAGAGUUUAAGGUGGGAUGGAUAAAAUGAGAAGGAGAAAAGUGGAAGACAGAGGGUCUAUGAAUCACUCAAUAUGAACAGGGCAAGUUUCUAUCUUUAGGUGAGUAAUGAUGGAUAUCUAGAAGGGAACUGGCAUUGCUUGUAUGUUAAUUCUCCUUAAAACUGUCAAGGAGGAGCUCUUUUUCUUGUUGGGAUUAUUUCAAGAGCCCCAAGGCCACUGUAGGAAAAUGGCUUUAUAUAAUAGGGGUGAGGAUUCGGGAUGAAGAAGAACUUGGGGGAGGGGUGCUCUAAAUAGAGUCUCAUUAGCAUAGUCAAGCUUCGUGCCUGAUUAAUUAUGGAGCUCUUGAUAAAUAACACCCUGAAGUGAUGGAAAUCAGGAGAAAAGGUACAGAUAAUUGAAUGGAAUUGAAGAACUGGCUGUAUUGAGAGCAUCAUUAACAUAUUUUUGCUAUUGUUGUUUUUGGAGUUUGCCCUUGUCACAAUUGACUCUGGGCUUUGGCAGCUGCACAUUUUGGAGAAAGAGAGGAAGCUGAGAUGGUGGAUGAGGAAAAUAUGACAGCAAAUUGAAACUUGUCCUUUAUAGAAUCCCAGAGGUCCACCAGGAUUUGCAACCAGUCUUUAUGAAGAAUUAACUUUUUCAGGAUGUGAGAUUAACAUCCAGAAAACAGUCACAUUUCUGUAUGCUAACAAUGACAUAUUAGAAAAGGAAUACAAAAAUUCAAUACCUUUCAAAACUGCACCCAAAAAAUCAAAUACCUGGGAAUGCACCUGACCAAGUAGGUGAAAGGCUUAUUGCUGAGAACUAUAAACAUUAAUCAAGGAAACUAAAGAAGAUGUAAAGAAAUGGAAAUAUAUUCCAUGCUCCUGGGUUGGAAAAAUUAGUGUUGUAAAAAUGGCCAUACUACCCAAAGCAAUCUACAGAUUCAAUGCAAUCCCUAUCAAAUGACUCAUGACAUUUUUCACAGAACUAAAACAAACAAUCCAAACAUUUAUAUGGAACAACAAAAGACCCAGAAUCGCCAAAGCAAUCCUGAGGAACAAAAACUAAGCAGUAGGCAUAACUCUCCCAGACUUCAGGCAAUAUUACAAAAUCACAGUCAUCAAGACAGUGUGGUACUGGUACCAAAACAGACAGACAGCCCAAUGGAACAGAAUAGAG